rnacentral:rRNA from 1 species
AAGUAAGCAAGAGCGUAUGAAGGAUGCCUAGGCUCUUAGAGGCGAAGAAGGACGUAAUAAGCUGCGAUAAGCUGCGGGGAUUGGCUAAUACGAAUCAAUCCGCAGAUCUCCGAAUGGGGCAACCCACUCUGAUGAAGUCAGAGUAUUUUUACUUUUUUACAGAGUAAAGAAGCAAACCUGGGGAACUGAAACAACUAAGUACCCAGAGGAAGAGAAAACAAUAGUGAUUCCGUGAGUAGUGGCGAGCGAAAGCGGAAAAGCCUAAACCACCUUAGUUAAGGCUAACGUGGGGUUGUAGGACUGACACUUUGACUUGGUAAGAAAACUCAAAUUAUUCUGGAAAGAUAAGCCAUAGAAGGUGAAAGCCCUGUCGAGGCAAUCAAGCUAAGUUAGUCAGUAUCCUAAGUAGGUCGGCGCUGGUGAAACACCGACUGAAUUUGCCGGCACCAUCCGGUAAGGCUAAAUACUCCUAAGAGACCGAUAGUGAACUAGUACCGUGAGGGAAAGGUGAAAAGUACCCUGAACAAGGGGGUGAAAAGUACCUGAAAUCAUACGCUUACAAGCGGUCGGAGCCCUUUUUGGGGUGACGGCGUGCCUUUUGCAUAAUGAGCCUACGAGUUACUCCUCUCUAGCAAGGUUAAGGACUUAAGGUCUGGAGCCGAAGCGAAAG